rnacentral:rRNA from 1 species
GAUGAACGCUGGCGGCGUGCCUAAUACAUGCAAGUCGAGCGAACAGACGAGGAGCUUGCUCCUCUGACGUUAGCGGCGGACGGGUGAGUAACACGUGGAUAACCUACCUAUAAGACUGGGGUAACUUCGGGAAACCGGAGCUAAUACCGGAUAAUAUAUUGAACCGCAUGGUUCAAUAGUGAAAGACGGUUUUGCUGUCACUUAUAGAUGGAUCCGCGCCGCAUUAGCUAGUUGGUAAGGUAACGGCUUACCAAGGCGACGAUGCGUAGCCGACCUGAGAGGGUGAUCGGCCACACUGGAACUGAGACACGGUCCAGACUCCUACGGGAGGCAGCAGUAGGGAAUCUUCCGCAAUGGGCGAAAGCCUGACGGAGCAACGCCGCGUGAGUGAUGAAGGUCUUCGGAUCGUAAAACUCUGUUAUUAGGGAAGAACAAAUGUGUAAGUAACUAUGCACGUCUUGACGGUACCUAAUCAGAGAGCCACGGCUAACUACGUG